CGGGAUGUAGCGCAGCUCGGUAGCGCGCUUCGUUCGGGACGAAGAAGUCGCCGGUUCAAAUCCGGCCAUCCCGACCA
rnacentral:tRNA from 1 species